rnacentral:rRNA from 1 species
UACGAAGGGGGCUAGCGUUGCUCGGAAUUACUGGGCGUAAAGCGCACGUAGGCGGAUAUUUAAGUCAGGGGUGAAAUCCCAGAGCUCAACUCUGGAACUGCCUUUGAUACUGGGUAUCUUGAGUAUGGAAGAGGUAAGUGGGAAUUGCGAGUGUAGAGGUGAAAUUCGUAGAUAUUCGCAGGAACACCAGUGGCGAAGGCGGCUUACUGGUCCAUAACUGACGCUGAGGUGCGAAAAGCGUGGGGAGC